CCCCUACAGUCUCAACAGCAAAAGGGACCCCAGAAGCCCCAAUCAUCACGUCAACAGCAACCUUUACCUUCCUCAGCGCAGCUAUACUAUGUACAAGGGUAGGAGCAACUAGGGUUGCAAGCACCUAUGCAGUACACUAUUCCGGCAGCACAAUACUACCUACCAUACCCAUGGCAACAACAUCUACCUUCCCCACCACUGCCAUAUUUGUUGCCCUCACCUCACUCUCACCAAUUGACUCCGAUGUCGACUAGUCAAGCACAGCAAAGAGUUGAGCAGGGAAUUGCACCCCUAGAAACUCAGCAAUCUAGCUCCAAAACUGUCGAGUUUAUGCCCUGACUCGAGAGGAGGUACAACAAGAAAGAAGUUCGGUCAUACGAGGGUUGGUGAGGGCAAGGACAUAUCGGAGAAAAAGAAGAAUAUAAGCAGAUCAAGGAAGGGUUUGCCAAGGAAGAUAGAUGAUUUUUUUUUAUCUCUCCAUUGUUUUGAGAGUGUUUGGUGAUUUAUUAGAUGCGAACAAGAUUGAUGAGAAU